rnacentral:rRNA from 1 species
CCUACGGGUGGCAGCAGUGAGGAAUAUUGGUCAAUGGACGAGAGUCUGAACCAGCCAAGUAGCGUGAAGGAUGACUGCCCUAUGGGUUGUAAACUUCUUUUAUAUGGGACUAAAAUGUUCCACGUGUGGCAUUUUGUAUGUACCAUCUGAAUAAGGAUGGGCUAACUCCGUGCCAGCAGCCGCGGUAAUACGGAGGAUCCGAGCGUUAUCCGGAUUUAUUGGGUUUAAAGGGAGCGUAGGUGGAUUGUUAAGUCAGUUGUGAAAGUUUGCGGCUCAACCGUAAAAUUGCAGUUGAAACUGGCAGUCUUGAGUACAGUAGAGGUGGGCGGAAUUCGUGGUGUAGCGGUGAAAUGCUUAGAUAUCACGAAGAACUCCGAUUGCGAAGGCAGCUCACUGGACUGCAACUGACACUGAGGCUCGAAAGUGUGGGUAUCAAACAGGAUUAGAUACCCUUGUAGUC